GGCAAGAUGGCCGAGUGGUUAAGGCGCAACGUUCAGGAACUCUCUGAAAUUUCUUCCGUUGUCUUCGGGCGUGGGUUCGAAUCCCACUCUUGUCA